rnacentral:rRNA from 1 species
GACGUAGGGCGCGAGCGUUGUCCGGAUUUAUUGGGCGUAAAGAGCUCGUAGGCGGUUUGUUGCGUCGGCUGUGAAAACCUGAGGCUCAACCUCAGGCCUGCAGUCGAUACGAGCAGACUAGAGUGUUGCAGGGGAGACUGGAAUUCCUGGUGUAGCGGUGGAAUGCGCAGAUAUCAGGAGGAACACCGAUGGCGAAGGCAGCUCGCUGGGACGGUACUGACGCUGAGGCGCGAAAGCGUGGGGAGCGAACAGG